AGGACGAACGCUGGCGGCGUGCUUAACACAUGCAAGUCGAGCGGUAAGGCUCCUUCGGGAGUACACGAGCGGCGAACGGGUGAGUAACACGUGAGCAAUCUGCCCUUCACUUCGGGAUAACUCCGGGAAACCGGUGCUAAUACCGAAUACGACCACUUCAGGCAUCUGAUGGUGGUGGAAGUCGGCGGUGAGGAUGAGCUCGCGGCCUAUCAGCUUGUUGGUGAGGUAAUAGCUCACCAAGGCAACGACGGGUA
rnacentral:rRNA from 1 species